CUACUUUUUAUAAGAGGGAACAUUAUUUAAAGAAUAUGUAUUUAAUUGGAAAACUCUCUAUUCGUCUAAAGGCUAUAACAAGAAAGGGGGUGUUUUCAGAGGUGGUAGGUGGUAAAAGAAGAGGUCAGCAGGAAGAUGGCGAAGAGUGACCAAAGACCAAGAAAAAGAGGCAGUCAGGGAAAGAUGAAGAGUAUUAUAUCCCUUACAGACCUAAAGACUUUGACUCUGAGAGAGGGUUGAGUCUCGGUGGAGAGGGCAGUGCUUUUGAACAGCAGGCCUCUUCAGCUGUCCUUGAUCUCAUGGGAGAUGAAGGCGAUCGCCUUAACCAGCAGAAGAAAAUGAUGAAAUGGGACCGUAAGAGGAAGCGUUUUGUGAGAGAAACGGGAAAAGAAGACCAGAAGAAGAAGAUCAAAACAGACAGCGGUCAGGUUAUCAGUAACAAGAAGAACAGGAAGAACUUUUAUGAGGAGUGAAGGAAAAAAUACAAGAUUGAUGAUACAGGAUCUGGAUCAGAUGGAGAAACAGGCGGAGGAGGCAGGAAGCCAGCAAGAGGUCGUGGCCGUGGCCGACGAGGUCCAAACGUACAGAGCUCCGGUGACCACAAAGCACGCUCGGAGCUGAAAACAAAGGAUCAGAUCAUGAAGCAGCGCAAGAAAAAGCAGAAGCACCAGUUCCUGCAGGGCGGGGGGAUGAGGAAGCUCCGCUCCAAGAACAAAAAGUGGCUCGGAGAAGUUAAAAAGUCAGGUUUUGGAAGGGGUGGCCAUAAGAAAGGCAAGCUGAGGAAGAAACUGGGAGGAGGACAGAGGGUUGAUGGUGUGGAGGACAUCAGGAGGAACUGGGUGAUAAGCGUCAGAAUCAUCUGAGAACAUCACCAAAGAUUUUCCUGGCGCUUUGUGUGACUGUAGAUUAAGGAGAAAAUCAUUUGUGAAUCUUUACACUGCAGAAAUGCACGUCACUUCUUCCUUGAUGGCCUGCUGAACUCUGCGUUUGCCACAGAGUUAUGUUUAAUUAUGAUCCACUAACCUGGAUUUACUACUUGUAAGCAUGUUGGCAGUCUAAUAAAAGUGUUUUGGAGUACUGAAAUAUGUCUUAUCAAAAUGGUAAAAUACAGAUAUUAAAUAUUGUGUGCUUAAUUUGCAGUUAGUUUCAAAAAUCGUCUCGCCCAUCUUUUCUUAAAAUAAGAGGUGCUCUAUAAAAAUGACAUUAAAUUCUGUAAACGUGCUCUAUUUGCAAUUAUUUAUCAUUACUGUUGUCCAAGUGGUCUCAUUUCAAAGUUGAAAGCGAGCAUCGGAACGGGCAAGAAAGGCGACUUUUAAUUGACUUUGAAUGUGUUGUGGUUACUGAUAUCAGAUGGGCUGGGUUGAGAAACUGGCUUAGAAUUCCUCUUGCCUUCAGCAUGGCCACGCCCCUCUGACUUCUGCAAUCAACAAGGCAUUUUUACCCAGGGAAAUGUUUAUUUCGCUUUUCAGUUUGGACUGUUCUCUGUAAAUUCCUGAGAAAAUUUGAGAAGAUCAGGAGUGUCUGAA